UGAGUAACCUGCCCUUAACUCUGGGAUAAGCCUGGGAAACUGGGUCUAAUACCGGAUAGGAGCGUCCACCGCAUGGUGGGUGUUGGAAAGAUUUAUCGGUUUUGGAUGGACUCGCGGCCUAUCAGCUUGUUGGUGAGGUAAUGGCUCACCAAGGCGACGACGGGUAGCCGGCCUGAGAGGGUGACCGGCCACACUGGGACUGAGACACGGCCCAGACUCCUACGGGAGGCAGCAGUGGGGAAUAUUGCACAAUGGGCGCAAGCCUGAUGCAGCGACGCCGCGUGAGGGAUGACGGCCUUCGGGUUGUAAACCUCUUUCAGUAGGGAAGAAGCGAAAGUGACGGUACCUGCAGAAGAAGCACCGGCUAACUACGUGCCAGCAGCCGCGGUAAUACGUAGGGUGCGAGCGUUAUCCGGAAUUAUUGGGCGUAAAGAGCUCGUAGGCGGUUUGUCGCGUCUGUCGUGAAAGUCCGGGGCUUAACCCCGGAUCUGCGGUGGGUACGGGCAGACUAGAGUGCAGUAGGGGAGACUGGAAUUCCUGGUGUAGCGGUGGAAUGCGCAGAUAUCAGGAGGAACACCGAUGGCGAAGGCAGGUCUCUGGGCUGUAACUGACGCUGAGGAGCGAAAGCAUGGGGAGCGAACAGGAUUAGAUACCCUGGUAGUCCAUGCCGUAAACGUUGGGCACUAGGUGUGGGGACCAUUCCACGGUUUCCGCGCCGCAGCUAACGCAUUAAGUGCCCCGCCUGGGGAGUACGGCCGCAAGGCUAAAACUCAAAGGAAUUGACGGGGGCCCGCACAAGCGGCGGAGCAUGCGGAUUAAUUCGAUGCAACGCGAAGAACCUUACCAAGGCUUGACAUGUUCUCGAUCGCCGUAGAGGUACGGUUUCCCCUUUGGGGCGGGUUCACAGGUGGUGCAUGGUUGUCGUCAGCUCGUGUCGUGAGAUGUUGGGUUAAGUCCCGCAACGAGCGCAACCCUCGUUCCAUGUUGCCAGCACGUAAUGGUGGGGACUCAUGGGAGACUGCCGGGGUCAACUCGGAGGAAGGUGAGGACGACGUCAAAUCAUCAUGCCCCUUAUGUCUUGGGCUUCACGCAUGCUACAAUGGCCGGUACAAUGGGUUGCGAUACUGUGAGGUGGAGCUAAUCCCAAAAAGCCGGUCUCAGUUCGGAUUGGGGUCUGCAACUCGACCCCAUGAAGUCGGAGUCGCUAGUAAUCGCAGAUCAGCAACGCUGCGGUGAAUACGUUCCCGGGCCUUGUACACACCGCCCGUCAAGUCA
rnacentral:rRNA from 1 species